GUUGCUCAGGCUGGUUGCAUACUCCUGGUCUCCAGCAUUUCUCCUGCUUCAGCCUCCCAGUGUUGAGAUUAUAGGCAGGAGCCACUGUGCCCUGCCAUAAAGCUUUUAAAUCAGCAUGAAUCCUGUGCCCACCUGAUGUACCAUCUCCCAUCCUUGGCUUUGGGAGAAGAUAGGCCACAGGGACCUUCAUGGUUUGCUGCAAGCUCAAUGAGAAUAGAAAUGCCCAAUGGGGAUUUGCUUGUGAACAGCAGUCCCAGGUCAUCUUCAGAGGAGACCAAGGCCCCAUUGUGGCCAAUGGCCAAGAUCUGAGUUUGAAGCAAAAAGGAAAGACUUCCUAGUGGGCCACGUAAGUGCUCAUUAUAUGUGUGCCAUGGACUAAGGACAAUAAAAAAUGGUAAUACGUGAUUUGUGCAUAAAUAGAGUCAGACAGCCUGGGUCAAAUCCUGGCAGGGUCACUACCAGGGACUAGGACUGAAAUGCUGUUUUACCAAAUUUGUAAAAACAAGCGAAGAGAGCCUGCCUCCCAGGAAGAGAUGAGGUUGGGUGCAGCAUUCAGGCAGGUCAGGCCACAGGUUUCCCUUCUCAGAAAGCUUCACAGCCCAGCACGUCACGUCCCAGGCUCAAGUCUCUCCAGGGCGGCCACAGAGAAGGCUCCUGACACCGGGACUUGGAGAGGUGAUCACAGAGGAGCAUGAAGGAGGUGGUGGCCUGAGGAGGGGAGAGGGGAAACAGAUGUCUUCAGCAGCAGCUGCCUAAAAGGAUGAGGGUCCAGCCUUUUGUGCUCCAUAUUUGCACCCCAUGAUGGCGUCUCCUCCUCAUCUUAGCACCUGCUGCAGCUACCUGGCCUCUUGGGUACAUCAUUCAGCUCGGGAACCAGCAUAGCCCUCUUCCCUCCCCAGCUCCCUCUCCCACACCUGGCACUUCCAGUGAACCUGGUGCUGGGAAGACCUGGGCUGCUUCUGUACUCGCUCUGAGCAGGCUCUGCCCUCCAGUGACCCCAGGAUACACCUGGACUGCUUGCAGAAGCUACGGUCCGGGCCAGGCUUCGCGGAGCCUGCAGACCUGGCUGCUGGUGCCCAACAGCUGCAGUCCUGAGCGGUGCUCAUAUCGCGCAGGGGCCGGUCUGGGUCUAAACAGCCGCUACCGGGUAGGCGGAAUCCCGAAGCUCGAGAGUCCCCUGCUGGGGCUGGGCCGUUGGACCUCGCCCUUUGCCCUCUGCUGCGUUUCUUCGAGCCCUGGCCUCGCGCACCCUUUCUCUCCACGCGUUCCAACGGCGGCUCAAUUGCGUAACAGGGUGUGCAGCGCACAGGCUGCUCUUCACCGGCAACCUCUUCUACAAGCUUCAUACGCGCCCCUCGUCCCCCAUCUGGUCUGGAUCGCCUCGCGGUCCCGGCACAGAGCUCUCCUCGACCUUGCUCGCCCAGGUUUACUGCAGUCCCGCGCCUUUUCGGUUGGACAUCACCGCUAGGAGGCGGUGUCUGAUUCCGCAGGCUCUGGGCUCCUCUCUGGGGUUCUUACCUUGAAUGUGUGCGGGACUCUGGUGUGGAGGUCUCAGGAGCCACUGCUGCCGGCUAGCACUACUAGGGUGUUCAGCUGAAUAUCUUGGAAUGGUAGAGUCCUCCUCCAGGCUGCAAAUGACUCCUUUCUGUUUGGGGUUUGAGCAGGUAGUGAUCUCUACGAAGCUGGGCCACCCUGUCCUCCCCUCCAUACUUGCCUCAGAAAGACUGAGUUGAAGUCCCCAGGAGAGUGCAGGAAAGGAAAAGCUAAGGCAGAGGGAAAAAGUAGCAAAAGAAGGAUAAUUAGAGAAGGGCUCCCCCCUCACCCUCAUAACAGCGGGAGUGUCUGGAAGAUCAACGGUGUCAUCUUGUGGUCACUUCCUUCCAGUACAGUCCUGGACUCCUGAAAGGAAGCCUCUGUUCCAAACACCCAGAAGACACCUUGAGUAAGAAAGCAUCUUCUCUGAGCCCAUUUGCCAAAGUCAGUGACAUCGCCAGCUUAUACAGACCUCUUUGGAGGUCUGCCGUGGGUUCAGCAGGGCUGUCCCGUCCAGUCUUAUCUGCACUCUGCUACUGGAGAGGUGGGCGAAGGAAGAUGUUGAUGGAGGCCAUUCACCCAGAUCUCCAGCCUCACUAAAGUCAGACAAGACACAGGGAGAAAAAGCUUCCAGACACUCUCAAGAAGGAACUUUCCAAACACAUCUAACAGCUGUGAGCUCUGUAACUCCAAAUUCCAGUACUCCUGCUGCUGCCACUGCCGCUAUUGUUGGGUGGAGGAGAGCUACCUCUGCCCCCUAGGUUUCCUGUAUAGUCACUGCUGAAGACCUAGGCUUGGAGAAGAGAGGUGAGCACCAGUGGAGCCCCAAGGCGUUGGAGGAUAAAACUGAGGCCCCUUCAGACAGCAGGGCCACUCAGCCUGCCUGUUCUUUCUCCCUUUCUGCUGAGAAAAUUUCAGACUUCCUGACUGUGGCCACUUUCAUCAUGUGGAUCCUGGCUCCUGCCUCAUUAGUAGACACUGAUUCAGCUGACCUGUUUGCCAGACCCUCCAAUCCUGACUGCCCCUGUACUUACCCCCCCCCAUCAGAUAUUGAUCAUGAAACGAGAAGCCCUACUUAUAAUUCUCCUUUCACCAUUCUUGCUGAAUCUCCUUCUCCCUUUAGGAUUAAUAAUAAUUGUUAGUCCAAGCUGCACCAUUUUGCAAGUCCCUGCCAUUUCACAGACCCUGGUCAGAAUGAAAGAUUCCAUGGGGCCCUGGGCUGUGAGAAACAUCCUGCCCAGCCACCUGACUUCCUUAUCACAUCCUGCUGGGCAAAGGCCCAAGGAACAUCUUUAUCAACAUCCUCCUGGGCAGCAAGCCAUACGGGCCCAGACCCCUCCUGCCCAGACCUGUAAUUACCCCAGCCUGUAAGCAGCAGUGAGCUCUGGCACCAAGCUGGUCCCCUCUCUGCAAGUUGUACUGGCAAUAAACCUGUGUUGCUGUAGAGCCACCAACUCUCUCUCUCUCCCCUUCCCUUCAAAACCUAACAAUAAUAAUGAUAGAAUAACAAUAAGGCAAACCACCCAAUUAAAAAAACUGGACAAAACAUUUGAGCAAUAAUCCCUUUCCAAAAGUUGAUUCAGAAAUGUUCAACAGGCCCACCAAAAAUGCUCAAUAUUAUUAAUCAUCAGGGAAGUUUAAAUGAAAACCACACUGAGAUGCCAUUGCACAUCCACCAGAAUGCCUGUAGGGAUGUAAAGCGCUUGGAACACUUCUCACUUGCAGUAAUAAUAUAAAAUGGUACAAUCACAUUGAGAAAAUGUCAUAAAACUUAUUAUAAAAGUAAACAUACACAUUCUUACUCAGCACUUCCAUUCUGAAUUAUUUCCUUGAGAGAAAUGAAAACAUGGAAGAUUUCUCAUUGCAAUGAUAAUAUGAAAUGGUACAAUCACAUUGAAAGAAUGUCAUAAAACUUACUAUAAAACUAAAUAUAUACUUAUUCUUACUCAGUGCUUCCAUUCUGAAUUAUUUCCUUGAGAGAAAUGAAAACAUAUGUACACAAAAAGGCUUGCAUGACACAAAAAGCCUUGCAUAGUAGGCAAAAUUCAUAAAAGCCUUAUUCAUAAUAAGCAUAAUAUGGAAAUAUCCCUGAUACCAAUCCACAUGAGAAUAGAAAAAGAAAUUAUGAAGUAUUCAUAUUACUCAGCUAUCAAAGAAAAUAACCCCUGAUGACAGACAACAAAAGUACAAAAGCACAGCAUUCUGCUAAGUGAAAAGAAUCCUUGCACAGGAAUGCAUACUGCAUGUCCCUAUUUAUAUGAAAAGCUAGGACAGCCAAAACUAACCUAUCUUGGGACAAUCCUUGAAGAAUUGGAGAGGAUUGACUGAACCUGGAGGUACAACUGGAUCACAGCAGUGAGCAAAUCAGGGCGUUGGGUCGAAAUCAAAAUACAGAGAUAAAUCUCUAUAAAUAUAAACUGUUUUAUUUGGGAAGUGAAAAUUGCAAUUCAGGGCACACAACUGGGCAGCCUUUUAGAAGAACAAAUAGAAAGAGGUUUCGUUAAAAGAGCAAAGACAAUUUAUUUUGCAAAGACAACUCAUUGGCACUAGUAAAGUUUUGGGGAGCUGGCAAGUUCUGAUUGGUAAGUGAUAGCAGUGGGUAAAAGUAAUCAUAGAGUCCGGCAGGUUGUUUCAGAAGCUACUACAUAAAACCGUUUUUGGGUUACAGCAGGCAAUUUCAGCAGCUAGGCUUGCAAAGAAUUACAUUCUUGGCGUGCCCUGAGUGUGUUUUCUCCUCCUGGCCUUCCAAUUCUGUUUUAGUUGGGUAUAACAAGAAUGGCUCAAUUUAUAUAAUCAACUUUCACACUUGCCAGCCAUAGGAAGCCAGGGCAUCCUACCCAUAAGUGACUCUCUCUCCAAGGGCUGAGCUGUUCUCUUCCUGUGCCGACAAACUGCUCCAGGGAGAGGGGAUCUGGCUGAUCCAACAUGGGUCAAAGUCCCACAGUCCAGAUAUAUGUGUCUCAGAAGGUGGGGGGUUCUCAUGGUCCAUGGACUUUCCUUCAGAUAAUGUUGGAAUUGCUCCGAGAAGGGCUAGUGAUUUUUACCCCUAUGUUCACCAUGCCUUUUCUGCACACAAGAGUGCUUGUGUCUUUGCUCUCUUCUUGCACUGCUCCUCCCGGCUGACCAUCUUCCCAUUCUCUGCCGUGCCCCUACCUUAACAUUGUUUUCUAAAUGAACCUUUUUCAUGUUUAAAAACUGUUAUAACAGUUAGAAAGAAAAUCUGGCCUUCUCUGCCAUUAUUAUGGCCAAUUGCAUCUACGUAGCAAAAUCUGUUUAUAAAACAAUGAUUUUAGAAUGAUAUUCUUUCUACCUUUGCUUCGUUUUUUUCAAAUCAAGUUUUGGAGGUAAAAUUCAGCAAUUUCAGCGGCUGCUGAGAAAAAAAUUCAGAGUCAGGACCUGCCAAUGAAGAGGGUCCCCAAAAAAUACUCAGGUUUUCAUGUAAAACGUCUGAAAGCCAGUAUCCCAGAAAUAAGGAUAACAGGAGAGAGCCAGCCUUCAAAAAGAGUGAAGCAUGGCUCUGACUUACAUUAAUCUCAGAAUAAAGUGUGCUUUCCCAUCCUAGCUGCCUUCUACAUCCAAAGGUAAAUCCCUUCAGAGGAUUUAUAGUAGCAUCAAUAAACAUGAAAUAAAUCUACAAAAGACAUGCAAAUCGACAGGAGAAUUCCAGAGCUAAAUGUGAAAAGUUAAGCAAUAAACCUCAUAGUAGGCAUCACUGAAAAUUUCCAUGAUAUUGGAAGUGAUGCUGGGCAGGCAAGCCCAAAUUGGGGCUUAGCUUGGGAGGGUUCUUUGCUUCACCCAGCAAAGGAUUCAAGGGUGAGCUGGUGGUGGAAGAAGACAGCUCUAUUGAAGAGGCAGUGUUACAGCUCUGUGACUGCUCCUGCAGAGCACGGUUACUCUAUCGGCAGGGCGCAGAGAGCAGCAGCUCAGGGCAGUUCUGCAGUCAUAUUUACAUCUACUUUUAAUUGCAUGCAGAUUAAGGGGUGGUUUAUGCUGAAAUUUCUAGGAAAAGGGUAGUAACUUCUGGGUCAUUGGGUCAUUGCCAUGGAAAGGAGCAGUAAUUCCUGCAUGUUGCCAUGACAAAUGUAAACUGACAUAGCACACUGGUGGGUGUGUCUGAUGGAAAGCUGCUUCCACCCUGACCCUGUUUUAGCUAGUCCUCAAUUUGCUCCAGUGUCCAAGCCCCGGCUCUGGAGUCGAGUCCUGCGUCCUACCUCAGAAGUAGUCGAAAACAUACACAUGAAUGUUCACAGCAGCAUUAUUUCUUUCUUUUUUUUUUUUAAAGAGAGAUGGGGGUCUCACUAUGUUGGCCAGGUUGGUCUUGAACUCUUGGUCUCAAGCAAUCCUCCCUCCUCAGUCUCCCAAACUGCUAGGAUUACAGGCAUGAGCCACUACACCUAGCCACAGUAGCAUUAUUAUUUCUAAUAGCCAAACAUCCAUCAAUAAUAGAAUGGGUAAAUUAUAUUUGUUCAAUGGAACAUCACACAGCAAUAUAAAAGAAUAAAGUGCUGCUAAAAGCAACAACAUGGAUGAAUUUUAUGAAGUGUUGAAUGAAAAGACACAGCCACAAACAGGACACAUGGUAGGGUUCCAUUUAUAUAAAGUUUUUAAAUAGGCAAAACUAAUCUAUAAUGUUAAAAAUUUGGGAGGGGCAUAGUGACUAGGAAUGAGCAUGAGGUUGAUUCUGAGGUGCCUGUGUUUUGCUUCUUGAUCUAGAUUACAUAGGUUUGUUCAUUCUGCAAAAAUGUAUUGAGGAAUAGACAGAUGAUUUGUACACUUCUGUGUAUGAAUGUUAUAUUGUAAAGUUUCUUGAAGAAUACCUGUUUACAAGAGUUAGAGAACAUGGAAGCUCUUUCUCUGAGAUAAAACAUCUAAAAAGACAAAAAUUAGCCGGGCGUGGUGGUGGGUGCCUGUAAUCCCAGCUACUCGGGAGGCUGAGGCAGGAGAAUGUCUUGAACCCGGGAGACAGAGGUUCUAGUGAACCAAGAUCACACCACUGCACUCCAGCCUGGAUGACAGAGGAAGACUCUGAGACUCCGUCACAAAAAAGAAAAAACAAACAAACAAACAAACAAAAAAGCCCUAAGUCAUAUCAUGCCAGUCUCAGCAGUUUGAAACCCUCCAUGGUUCCCAUCUCUCAGUAAAAGGCAACGUUCUUAUGACAUCCUUCAAGGCCCCAUGUAGUCUUUUGGUCCCUCUCCAUCUCUGUCCUCCUGUCAUCCACGUCUCCCACGUGCUGAUUGGGUCUGGUAGGGUGACUGGGUGGCAAAGACCUCACAGAGGUGCCUUUCUGCUCAGGUGGCAAACAGGAGAGUCUAUCUGGGCCCUGCAGGAUGGAUCCUUCCUGAGUCACUGAAUAUAUUGGAGGUGCAGACAGCGCCAGAGAAAGGCAUUGAGCCUGCCAGAUCAGACACCGCCUCUUAGGGUCGACGGAACACCCAGGAGCAAAGACCAGAAAUUGUGGGAGAAAGGCCUGGAAGGGGGCCGGGGAGAGGCACAGAGACAGCGAGGUGAUGCAGGCUUGGUGGGAGCGGGUAUGGUAGGCAAUGGGGGACAGAGGGGCAGGGCACAGACAAAGCUUGCUGAAGAUAUGAAGAGCAAUUGUGAGCCGGCGAAUCCUUGGAGUAGAGGAGAAAAUUGAGGUCUCCUGUUCAGCCCGAUGCAGGCAGCCGCCACAGAGGACACCAGAUCAUGCCAACACCCCCACAACUCCUGCCCGCCUGCAGGCAGCUCUGGGCUCAGGACACCGCCUGCAAGAACCUUUAUAGCGCAGCUCUCCAAACCUUGGAGGCGAGGACAUUCUAUGUGCCCGCCCUGGAAAGGCCUGAACCUAUAACAUCUGGGCUGUGAUGGUUUCUGAGGUGGACACCAGGACCAACACUUGUCAGCAUGGCACAAUCAGGCAUUUCUCUUCUAAGUAGGAUGUGCAGCCAAAAACUCAGCUGUCUGUGAGCUGUCUUCUCCCAGGAACGAGGACAUAAGAUGUACAUCAGGUUUUGAUAUUAGAGUAAUACUGGCCUUAUAGAAUGAGUUACGAAAAGUUGCCCCUUUCUCCACUUUCUGAAAGAGUUUGUGUAACACAGGUCUGAACUGCACAGAUCCACUUACAUGUGGAUUUUCUUCCACUGCGGCCUCUCCUGAGACAGCAAGACCAACCCCUCCUUUUCAUCCUCCUCCUCCUCCUCAGCCUACUCAACAUGAAAAUGACAAGGAUGAAACCUUUAUGAUGAUCCACUCAUCCAUUUUCUUUUCUCUAGCUUAUUGUGAACAUCUUAGGCUAGUGUGUCGACUUCUGACUUGGCUCAUCUGAACCCAAGUCCUUGGACACAUUCACAAACACCCCAGGGUCUUGGGCUUCCAGUUUGUGCUAGAAGGACAAAGGGCAGGUGAAGCUUGUUUGCCGUAACUAGAAGGAGCAGAAACUGCUCCCAGCAGAACAAGAUCAAAUCAUGGGGAACAGUGGUCACCUGCCAUUUCUAGAGGAAGCUUUUGCUUUUGGUCACUGAGGACCCUAAGUCUUACAUGAGAAGAAAACAAAUAGGGUGAUGCUGCAUGCUUCUGUCCCCAAAGAAUCCCUGUGCAGGUGCCGAGGGUGCCCCAAAGACGAGGCUGUGCUUGCCGUGCCCACCACAGAAGCACAUUUGACCUGAUCAAAAGCAGGUGGAAAAGGUCCUGAAGCACAGAUAUUUUCUCAGUGAUGUUGUUUUCUCCAAAAUGAAAGAGGGAAGGUACCCUGGCUUAGGCCCCUGGUGUUCUGAUUGAAGGUGAGAAUGGAAGUAUCUUCUUCAACAUGUUCUCCCAUCUGACUGCAACAAGUGUGCUCCAGCCACCAGUGUCCCAGUUGCUCUGAAUGAUGGUGAGAAGGGUACCCAAACACUUGAAUGGUACUGUACCCUCUACUUGCCAUCUGAAUCCUCACUUGUGGAACCCAGGCACUCUGGCUGUAUUCGCGAGUAAGCAUAGGUGUGGGACUGUGUCCUGCCAUUGCACCAUCUUUAAUCUGGACUUGUGGACCUCAGGCUCUCUGACUAUUCAUGGACAGAAGUUUCUGCAGGCACAGGUGGGGUGCUGUUUCCUCCCAUUGUACACCUGAAUUCAGGACUUGUGGACCCCAGGUGUUCUGGCUGUGUUCAUGAACAGAAGUGUCCCCCCCAAACAAACCCAUAUAUGGUGCCAUCUCCUCCCAUUACAGGUAUGGUGCCAUCUCCUCCCAUUGCAGGCAUUGCACUGCCUAUACUCUGGACUUAUGGCCCUCACAUGCUCUGAUUGUAUUCAUAAACAGUAGUUUCUUCAGUCACAGAUAUGGCACCAGCCCCUCCAACAGAAACAGAUGUGCUCAAGCUGAGUGGUCCAAAGGCGUUUGACAGAAGUCAUGAACAGAAGUAUCUUGGGGCACAUGUUUCUUCUCUGUUGUGCAGGCUUCUCCAGCAGUAACAGGUUUGCCCAGGCCAUAUGGGCCCCAAGCGCUCUGACCAGACACAAGAAGAGAAGACUUGCAGUCACAGGUAGUGUGUUGUCCCCUGCUACUGCAACAUAGGUGCUUGGAAAGGUGCAACAGGGUGCUCUGCUUGUGGUGGAAACAUAAAGGCCUCCAAGCAUAGAUGUGCUGCUUUCUCCUUCCCUUUGAGGGAUGCAGAUGUGCUCUGGCCAGCUGCAUUCCAGGUGGUCUGUCUGCAAGACAGAAGUGUCCCAAGCACUGGUAUGUGCGGGCUCCUCCAACCACAACAGACGUGCUUUGGCCAGAUGGUUUCCAGGUGUUAUGAACACAAGAAGGAACAGAGGUGCCUUCUGGAACAUGUUUCUUCUCAGUGAUGUUCUAAGAGGUGUGCUUUGGCAGGACAGGCCCCAGCUGCUCUGACUGUAGGCAGGGAGGAAAGUGUUUCCCAGGAGUUUUUGCUUUCAGUAGUACUGCCCUCUCCAACUGUACCAGAGGUGCUGUAGGCUUGCAGGAACCCCGGUGCUCAUGUGUAAGCCUCCCCAACAUAAACUAAGGUGCUGCAUGCCCCUCUAGGCCCUGUUCUAAAGCUGAGUGCUUCAGAUGUGGAGCUGGGUCUGGGGCAGACACACUGGUCCUAGAGCUGUCAUUAUCCAAAGAAGCCCCAGAGUCCAUGAAUGGAAAUGGGUCGAGAGAGGGGUUAGCAAAAGGUGAACUGUGCCUGAUGCUGAGCAUCCAGUGAUGGCUCCAGAGCUAGAAGUAGUGGCUGUGCAAAUGGGAAAAGGACCCGAGGUGCCACCCAAGGCUGAGUGGGUGCUAGCAGAGAUAUCAAAGAUGGAUAUGGAGGUAACACGUACGCAAAAUCUGAUGGCAUUAUGCUCCCAUUGGGUGUCUGGGCUGCAGUAAAGGCUCAGUUUAGAGCUUGUAUUGAGAUUUUACGUUUCUCAAAGGGUAAAUGCUAUCAAAUACAUUGGGGGAUCCUGCCAGGGGGAGGCUAGAAAGAGGACAUGGUAACCAUAUUGAUUUCAUCAGAGUUAAAGGCAGACUUGGCUGCCCAGUUGGUCAAGGUCCUAGCUACUAGAAAACAGACAAUUGCUGAAGUAGUGAUAAGUAUGAUGGUGCAGACAGGUAUCCUAGAAGACUGACUCUUUGCUGCUGCCCUUUAGGAGCUCCAAAUGUGACUGAGAGGUGGCUUCUGGGCUAAAGGAAAGGUUCAAAGUGGGGUAGGGCUGUUUACCAUAAACAUAGGUGGGUUAGUGGGGACUGCCUUUUGCAGGGGGCUGUCCACUCCACACUGCAAUGAGCCAGUCAAAUGGGAGUUCCAAGACCAGAGGAAACCUAGCCCAGAGCUUGAGUCUUCCAGGCUAACCCUGGGUCCUGGGGGGACCAGGAGAUGAGACCCAGGGAAUAGUAGUGUCCAUGUCGGUCAUCUCAAAGGUUCAAAGCAGGCUGGGAGGUCAAGUCUGCAGAUGGGCUGACUGGGCAGUGGAAGUGAUAAGGUUGGCCAGUUAAUGAUGGGUUGAUAUAUUCAUCUGUUUUCACACUGCUAUGAAGAACUAUGUGGGGCUGGGUAAUUUAUAAACAAAAGAGGUUUAAUUAACUCACAGUUCCACAUGGCUGGGAGGCCACAGGAAACUUACAAUCAUGGCAGAAGGCAAAGGGGAAGCAAGGCAUGUCGUACUUGGUGGCAGGAGAGAGUGCAGAGGAAACUGCCACUUAUAAACCGUCAGAUCUCAUGAGAAUUCCCUCACUAUCAUGAGAACAGCAUGGGGGAGACCACCCCUACAAUCCAGUCACCUCCCACCAAGUCCCUCCCUCCACACAUGGGAAUUACAAUUCAGAUUACAAUUCAAAAUGAGAUUUGGGUGGGGACAUAGAGCCAAACCAUAUCAGUUAGUCAGUGAAGACUGAGGUAUCUGUAGAAGUGAGGGAGGAGCACAGUGGUCUGGAUGAACCAGUGGGGUGAUAGUCAGGGGACUGGCAUUCAGUGAGGCUGGGGGAGAAGCUUCCUAAAAGCAUUGCCCUUGAAAAGCAGGGCAUACCUAUCUGAUACUGAGGAUGUAGAAUGCAGUUUGGAGAUGCUUCCUAGCUACCUAAUCUUCCAAGGCAAACCAUGCACUCUUCAUCCUGAUAUUUGUGAUGCCUCCCUGGGCUACAUGACAGAGGGUGCACUGCAAAGGAUGUGAAGGAAAGUCACCACAGGGCAAAGGUGGAAACCCAGGGGCCUUUCCCCAGUGAGACUUUCUGGCUGUUCCUUUGGAACUUCCACCUGCUAGUUGCAGAUGUUUGCCACUGGAUGGGGCCCCAUGCUACGUGGGAACUGUUCAGGACUGUGGGUACUUAGUUCCAGCAGAGCUGGCUCCACCAGGGCACCAGGACUGCAGGCUUCUCAACUCCUGGCCUGGAGAGGCAGCUUCAGCAACCAGUGCCUGGGAAUCCACUAGCCCUUUCUCUGUGAGUCACGUGAGGGCAGAAUCUGCUCAAAGUCAGAGGGCUGGAGCAACCUGGAUUGUGCCAGAGUGAGGGCCCAGCUCACUGGAGGUCAGAGUAAGAGAGUCAAGGAUGGGAAGAAACAGGGUUUUGCUCAGUCUUGCAGAUACUGAGGCACUCAGGAGGCUCAGGAUGGCAGCAACAGGGCAUGUGCUAAACUUACCCUAGCCUCUUCCUUUUAGGCAGCCACCACAGAGGACAUCUGUUUGCCUCUGUACCCUACCCCAUCUCCAUGCUGGUAGAUAUAGUCUGGGGAUACCUUUAAAACAAACAAACAAACAAACAAAACAGGAUCUGUCUAUCACCUGUCCAAAUCCUGAAGCAAAAUGAGCCUUCUUUAUGGCCACCUUGGAAAGGCCUGAGUCCCCAGCAUCACCUGGGAUACAAAGUGUUCUGAGGUGGGGGCAGAGUGCCCUCCUGCCCAGAUGCCACACUCCACAAUAUCUCUUCCUGGCAGACAGGUUUCUCUUAACUUCCUUUGGCAAAUUUGGUUUCACUUCCUUUUGCAACUUUAGAACCUUUCUCAGGUCAGUCAUAAGGUAGUGGAGAAGCCAGGAUUUGAACCCAUUCUGUCUGAUUCCAGAGCUCAUGCAUUAACCACCUGACUGUGGUGCCUCCCCAUCAUAUGUGCAUCAAGUAUGAUCAUUUUUGUAGUUCUCAGAGUACUUAGCACCAUGCACAUCUGUAAUAAGUACAGCCACUGCCUACUGGGAGGUCUAAAGGUUCAACUCAUAAGGGACCCACAGGCCACACUGGGCUCCAGUCUCCUUAAAAGAUGUGGGACGGAGAUCAACAAUUGUCAGCAGAACCCCAUCAGGCAUUUGUCUUCUCACUGAGCCUUGCAGCAAACCACACAGCUGUCUAUAACCUAUCUGUUCCCAGAUUCAAGAACACAAGCUGCUCAUCAGUUGGGUGCAGGAUCCACUCUAGUACAAAAGCUGUGUGUCUCAAGGCAUAAUUCCUUAUGAUUACUUCAUAGCUCUGCUUUUGUCUUGAGACAAAAGAAAUUUCCUUCAAUUCCUACUUUUGCUGAGAUAUUGUUUUUUGAAAAGCAAUUAAAUCUUGUCAAUCACUUUUCCCACCUCUUUGAGAUACUUACAUGGCUUUUCUUCUUUAUUCUCUUAGUGUGGUAAAUUACAUUGAUUUAUUUUAAAUAUGAAACCAGCCUUGAAUUCCAGGAACAAACUCCAUUUGGACAUGCUAGAACAACCUUUUAUAUUUGUUUAGAUUUGAUUUCCUGAAGUGGUGUUAAAAGGUUUUCAUAUCUAUGUCUGUGAGGGAUAUUAAUCUGUACAUUUUUUUAUUACUAUUUUCUGGUGUUAUGGUAAUGCUAGUCUCAUAGAAUGAAUUAGGAAAAGUUGCCUCCUUCUGUAUUUUCUGAGAGUUUGUGUGGCACUGGUAAAAUAUUUUCUGUAUAUGUUUGACAUAAUUCACCAGGAAAAUUAUUUGUACCUACAAGUUCCCUCCUGGAAAGAUGUUGAUAAUCACUUAUUAUCCUUUCAUUGUCUGCCAGAUCUGUGGCAUUGCUUUUUUCUCUGGUAUUAGUAAUUUAAAUUUUCCCUUAUUUCUUGAUCAAUUUUGGCAGAGAUUUAUCAAUUUUAUUAAUCUCUUUUAAAAAUCUGUAUUGAGCUUUGUUAAUUUUCUCUAUUACAUACUUUUUAUUUCUACUCUUACGAUUGCUAUUUCUUUAUUUCUCCUUUGGAUUUAGCCCAUUUUUCUAUUUGUCUAAUUUUAGGAUUUAAAAUUCAAUCAUUAUUUUUAGAUAUUUUUAUUUUUAAAUAUAAACAUGAAAGUUGCAAUAUUACCUUGGGCACUGUUUUGACUGCAUUCCACAAGUUUUUAUUUGUCAUGUUUUAAUCACCAUUCAGUUCAAAAUACUUUCUAAUGCUCCUUGUUAUUUCUUCUUUGACCCAUUGGUUAUAUAAAAGUACGUUUUGCUUUAUUUCUAAAUAUGUGAAGACUUUCUAGAUAUCUCAGUUAUUUAUUACUAAUUUAAUUUUAUUGUAGCCAGAGAAAAUACACUGUAUGUGUUCAAUCUUUGGAAAUUUCUUGAGACUUAUUUUUUGACCCAGUAUGUUUGCCCUCAUGAACAUUCCAUAUUCACUAGAAAAAGAAUGUGUGUUCAAAUAAUGUUGGAUAUAGUGUUAUGCAAAUGCCACUAAAUCAAGAUAAAUCUUUUGCACUCUUGUUUUUUGCCUGCUUGUUCUAACAAUAAGUGAGAAAGAAGUGUUAAUAUCUCCAAUUGUGAUUGUAAUUUGACUGUUAUCCUUUGGUUUGGUCAGUUUUUGCCUGUUGAAAUUCUGCUAUUAAAACAUAAACAUUUAAGAUAUUUAUAUCUUCCCAAGAGAGAUGCUAAAGAAAAGUGUAAAAAACCAAAGCCAUUCUUAUGUACAUCAGAAUAUAUGGACAAAAACUUUCACAGCAACAUCAUUAUCGCAAGUAACUGAAAGCAAUACAAAGGCACAUCAACAAAAGAUUGGACAGAUAAAUUGUUCCUUCAAUGGCAAUGAAAAUGGAUGUUACAGAGAUACAUGGAUACAUGGAACACCCUGAGUGAAUCUUACAUUUAUUUUGCAGAAGAUAUCAAACCAAACAGAGCACAUAUUAUUCCAUUCAUGUAAAGGUCAGUAACAGCCACAUAUAAGCUAUAUUUUGGAGAUUCAUACACAAUAGAAAAAACUAUUUAAAAAGUCAGAUAAUACUGAUUUUAAAAAUCGGGAUGUUGAAUUCAUCUGGGUGUUGAGGGAGGAGCACAUUGUGACCCAGACAGAGCACUCAGGACUCUGAGCACACUAAUACUCUGUAUUGCCUUCAGUGGUAGUUACAUCAGUAUCAACUUAAGAAAAAUUUAUUAAAAUCUACAUAAAUAAUAAAUAAUUUUCUAUAUGUAUGUUAUAUUUCCCAAUGCUAUGAAAUGAAUUGUGUCUCCCCAAAAUGUAUGUGUUGAAGUCCUAGCCCCCAGCACCUCAGAAUGUGACCGCAUUUGGAGAUGGAACCCUUUUUUUUUAUUUUUGAGACACAGUUGCCCAGACUAGAGUGUAGUGGCGUGAUCUCGGCUCACUGACCUCUGCCUCCUGGCUCAAACAAUUCUCAUGCCUCAGCCUCCUGAGGAGCUGGGAUUACAGGUGUGUGCCACCGCAUAUGGCUAAUUUUUGUAUUUUUAGUAGAAAUAGUAGACGCCAUGCAUAAAUACCAAUUCUCUCCAAAUUGAUCUAUUUCUCAAUCUACACAUAUUCUACUGGUGAUCUCAUCCAAGGUUGUGGCUGCAAGUACACCACUACAAGCCAAAAAAUUAUGUGUAUAUCUCCAUCUCAGGCUUGUCUUCCAAACUCCAUGGUCAUAUAUCUAAUAUUGUAUUUCUUCUUGUCUUCUCUUUGUAUUUGUGUAGAACAAAAGAAAAAAAAUUUUAAAGUAAAAG
rnacentral:lncRNA from 1 species